GUCACGCGUUCAUGAUCUUUCAUUCUGUGGAUGUAGUACGAUUCAUUGUGCGACCUCGUUUUGCAGAAAUAUCCGCCUCAACAUAAAGUGCUGGUCCUGGGGUUUCUUCAACACUGAGUUAGCCUCGAACAUUUCUUUUGAAAUUUUACUUGAACUGUGUCAUCAGAUGACAGCCAUGUCCGGUUCUACCGCGGCACUGGAAACGCAAAGCGCUCAGGUGUCGGCAGCUUCCGACUUGGGAACGGCAAGUGCUCAGGCGUCGGAGCCAGUUAUAGGCCCGGAAGUUGCUCCCGCUCCUGCUGAACGUCCUGAUGAAGUAAACCUCGUCGAUGAA